GGUUGAAAAUAUGUUAUGAAGCACAAAUUUUUAUUUAAAGUUAUUCAUUUAUAAAUAUUACAAAUUUGAUUAUAUUAAUACAUAAAUAUAGUUUACAUUUAUAAUAACUCUAAAAUUGAGAAAGAAUAAGAUAAUUAGUAACUGUUUUUGUUUUCUUACCAUCAUUUUAGAGUAGAAAAUCAUAAAUGCAAAGUUUAUGAAACAUAGAAAUGAAAAAAUAUAAAAAGUUUAAAGAGCUUGUUCAAUAAUUAACUGACAACUUACGUAAAUAACGAAAAAUACAAAAUGUGUCCAUGCAUGUAACAAUCAUUUCGUUUCCACCAAGUUUUGGGCAAUCAUAAUCAGUUUCACAUUUAAUACGAGCUCC
rnacentral:lncRNA from 1 species